rnacentral:rRNA from 1 species
UACUCGAGUGGCGAACGGGUGAGUAACACGUGGGUGAUCUGCCCUGCACUUCGGGAUAAGCUUGGGAAACUGGGUCUAAUACCGGAUAGGAACCGUCUUUAGUGUGGUGGUUGGAAAGUUUUUUCGGUGCAAGAUGAGCUCGUGGCCUAUCAGCUUGUUGGUGGGGUAAUGGCCUACCAAGGCGUCGACGGGUAGCCGGCCUGAGAGGGUGUACGGCCACAUUGGGACUGAGAUACGGCCCAG